rnacentral:rRNA from 1 species
GUGCACCAGGCGCGAAUCGUGACCAAUGCACGAAAGUGUGAGCCCGCGAGCUCGAGUGUUAGGGAUACCCCUAACUGUGAUGGAGUGUUCAAAGCUCCAACAGCAAGCAGAGGGCAAGGCUGGUGCCAGCCGCCGCGGUAAAACCAGCUCUGCGAGUGCCCAGGACGAUUAUUGGGCCUAAAGCAUCCGUAGCCGGUUCAGUAGGUCCUUGGUUAAAUCUGCAAACCUAAUUUGUAGGCUGUCGGGGAUACCGCUGAACUAGGGAAUGGAAGAGGUGAACGGUACUGCGAGAGAAGCGGUGAAAUGCGUUGAUUCUCGCAGGACCCACAGUGGCGAAGGCGGUUCACUUGGACAUCUCCGACGUGAUGGAUGAAAGCCAGGGGAGCGAAGCGGAUUAGAUACCCCCGUAGU